rnacentral:rRNA from 1 species
CGACGCCGCGUGAGGGAUGAAGCUCCUCGGAGUGUAAACCUCUGUUGCCCGGGACGAACAGCUCGUUUAGACGAGCCUGACGGUACCGGGUGAGGAAGCACCGGCUAACUCCGUGCCAGCAGCCGCGGUAAUACGGGGGGUGCGAGCGUUGUCCGGAAUCACUGGGCGUAAAGGGCGCGUAAGUGGUCUGAUAAGGGUGUGGUGAAAGUCCGGGGCUCAACCCCGGAUCUGCCGUGCCGACUGUC